rnacentral:rRNA from 1 species
GACGAACGCUGGCGGCGUGCUUAACACAUGCAAGUCGAGCGGUAAGGCCCUUUCGGGGGUACGACAGCGGCGAACGGGUGAGUAACACGUGGGUGACCUGCCCUUAGCUCUGGGAUAAGCCUGGGAAACUGGGUCUAAUACCGGAUAUGACUCCAUGACGCAUGUUGUGGGGUGGAAANCCUUGUGCGGCUAGGGAUGGGCCCGCGGCCUAUCAGCUUGUUGGUGGGGUGAU